GGUUGGGCAAAAUGGCCUCCAGAGGUUUUUACCAAACUCAACCACUUUGUGAUUCCAUGAUUAUUGAAAGAAAAUUCACAUUUUCCAAGAUUCAUUUUUCUGUGAGUGACUACUAAGGAAGUAGUCUCAUUAAAAUAGCACUUUUUUUUUUUUUUUUUUUUUUUUUCCCCCCAGGUUUAUUUCAUUACGUUUAUGGAGUUGUAGGGUUUUUGUUUGUUUGUUUGUUUGAGAAUCUAUCAGACAUUCAAAGAUAUCUAAUCUGUUUUAAGCCUAUGAAGAGCAUUCAGGAAGCUGGCUCGUUACCCAAAGCAUGGAUGCAGUACCCAGGCCUAAGCUGCUCAGAGAGAAGCUGUGAGUUCUGCUGCAGUGAGAGAAGACAACUCUCAGUGAUGCCAGUGGGGUUUCUCUGUUCCAGGAACUGCCCAUCUUUGCUACAGACGCAUGCUGCUCAACCUUCAGUGUGUCAGGCUGCUCUUCAGAAUGACUUCAGUGCAGAACUGAUGUUCUCACAACUGCAGUUGUGCUCUGCUGCUGCUGCAGUUAUGUGCUCAACUUCACACUUCCCUUAGCACAUGCUACUUGAGAAAUCAUACUUCGAUACUGAAGUUAUAGAGAGAGGAGCAUUACAAGCAGAAGGUAAUUACCUCAGAGGUUGAGGCAUUUUAU
rnacentral:lncRNA from 1 species